UACGGGGGGGGCGAGCGUUGUCCGGAAUUAUUGGGCGUAAAGGGCUCGUAGGCGGUUUGUCGCGUCGGGAGUGAAAAUCCAGGGCUUAACUCUGGACUGGCUUCCGAUACGGGCAGACUAGAGGUAUGCAGGGGAGAACGGAAUUCCUGGUGUAGCGGUGAAAUGCGCAGAUAUCAGGAGGAACACCGGUGGCGAAGGCGGUUCUCUGGGCAUUACCUGACGCUGAGGAGCGAAAGUGUGGGGAGCGAACAGG
rnacentral:rRNA from 1 species